GCCUUCGUGAUGUAGUGGUCAACACGCUUGACGCCUAUUCGAGAGGUCCGAGGUUCGAGUCCCGGUGAGGGCA
rfam:Stegodyphus mimosarum contig13323, whole genome shotgun sequence.